UACGUAGGUGGCGAUCGUUGCCCGGAAUUACUGGGCGUAAAGGGAGCGUAGGCGGCCUUUUAAGUGAGAUGUGAAAUCCUCGGGCUCAACCUGAGUGCUGCAUUUCAAACUGGAAGGCUAGAGUGCAGGAGAGGAGAAGGGAAUUCCUAGUGUAGCGGUGAAAUGCGUAGAGAUUAGGAAGAACACCAGUGGCGAAGGCGCUUCUCUGGACUGUAACUGACGAUGAGGCUCGAAAGCGUGGGGAGCAAACAGG
rnacentral:rRNA from 1 species